rnacentral:rRNA from 1 species
AACGAACGCUGGCGGCAUGCCUAACACAUGCAAGUCGAACGAGACCUUCGGGUCUAGUGGCGCACGGGUGCGUAACGCGUGGGAACCUGCCCUUAGGUUCGGAAUAACUCCCCGAAAGGGGUGCUAAUACCGGAUAAUGUCUUCGGACCAAAGAUUUAUCGCCUUUGGAUGGGCCCGCGUUGGAUUCGCUAGUUGGUAGGGUAAAAGCCUACCAAGGCGACGAUCCAUAGCUGGUCUGAGAGGAUGAUCAGCCACACUGGGACUGAGACACGGCCCAGACUCCUACGGGAGGGGGGAGUGGGGGAUAGUGGACAAUGGGGGAAGGCCUGAUGGAGCAAGGCCGGGUGAGUGAUGAAGGCGGUAGGGUUGUAAAGCGCUUGUACCCGGGAUGAUAAUGACGGUACCGGGAGAAUAAGCGCCGGCUAACUCCGUG